rnacentral:RNase_P_RNA from 1 species
GGAGUCGGCCGGGCAGUCGCUGGGAUAUUCCUGGAGGAAAGUCCGGGCUCCAUGGGCAGGGUGCCAGGUAACUCCUGGGGGGCGUGAGCCUACGGCUAGUGCCACAGAAAAUAUACCGCCGGACGACCAGUUCGGUAAGGGUGAAAUGGUGCGGUAAGAGCGCACCGCGCCUGUGGCAACACAGGUGGCAGUGAAAACCCCACCCGGAGCAAGACCAAAUAGGAACCCGCAUAUUGCGGCCCGUAAUUGGGUUCGGGUAGGUCGCUUGACGAACAGGGUGACCUGUAUCGCAGAUGAAUGAUUACCCAUGACAGAACCCGGCUUAUCGGUCGACUCUCAUU